UUACCACCUCAGACAAACUCACCUCACGUUAGUGUUCGUCGGAAUCUAGUUGGAGACCGUUGUAAAUAUUCGCUCUGCCCAACGUGCAAUCUAACUAACUUUUAUGGUUGCAGAAACGUUUGAAAACAACUUUGACUCAUAUAUUGAGCUUGCCUCACUGAGACACGGCCUCCUUAAUUCUCCGCCGAUGACAUUCUCUGGCCGGCGUUCAAAUGGGUUGAGAAUGAGAACGGAGAGAGAGAGAGAGCGCACACCCGCAGCGUUCCCCACAGGUUCCCCACCGUUGACUCUGGCGAAUCCGGUCCGGUCACGCCCCUUCGCUCCUUUUAAGGUGUGACGACGGCUGCUGACGUAAAGCAUGAGGUGUGUGCGUUGGAAAAUGAACAUCAGUGAAUGAAAAAAGCGCUCUGGAAGUCACUCAUUGCCCACAGAAACGGUGCCGGUUAUGUAACCCUAUUGCAUGUGUAAGGCAAGGAAGGCAAAAAACGAUCUCGGUGUGUCUCGUCGCUGGAGAUUCCUAGCAACUUUUCUGCUGAGGUCGGGUUCUGAUUGCUGCCUCUGAUUAGGUUCUUUUGUUUCCAUCAUUACCUUCAUGGAGAGAGAAAACAGUUUUGCAAGUGUACAUUAGCAAGAGAAGACAAGAGUCAAGAUAAACAAUAUCU